CCACCACAAAACCUCCGGUCAAACCUCCAACUAUUCCGGUUACACCAGUAAAACCUCCGGUUUCAACUCCUCCGAUCAAACUACCGCCGGUACAACCACCUACGUACAAACCCCCAACGCCAACAGUUAAACCACCGUCCGUCCAACCACCUACGUACAAACCCCCAACUCCAACGGUUAAACCACCCACUACAUCACCGGUUAAACCACCCACUACGCCACCAGUUCAAUCACCGCCGGUCCAACCACCUACGUACAAACCCCCAACGUCACCGGUUAAACCACCCACCACAACUCCACCGGUUAAACCCCCCACCACGACGCCACCGGUCCAACCACCUACGUACAAUCCCCCAACUACACCGGUUAAACCACCUACAGCGCCGCCUGUCAAACCUCCAACACCACCUCCCGUAAGAACUCGGAUAGGUAAUAAUA
rnacentral:lncRNA from 1 species